rnacentral:rRNA from 1 species
AGUGAACGCUGGCGGUAGGCCUAACACAUGCCAGUCGAACGGCAGCACAGUAAGAGCUUGCUCUUACGGGUGGCGAGUGGCGGACGGGUGAGGAAUAAAUCGGAAUCUACUUUUUCGUGGGGGAUAACGUAGGGAAACUUACGCUAAUACCGCAUACGACCUACGGGUGAAAGCAGGGGAUCCUCGGACCUUGCGCGAUUGAAUGAGCCGAUGUCGGAUUAGCUAGUUGGCGGGGUAAAGGCCCACCAAGGCGACGAUCCGUAGCUGGUCUGAGAGGAUGAUCAGCCACACUGGAACUGAGACACGGUCCAGACUCCUACGGGAGGCAGCAGUGGGGAAUAUUGGACAAUGGGCGCAAGCCUGAUCCAGCCAUACCGCGUGGGUGAAGAAGGCCUUCGGGUUGUAAAGCCCUUUUGUUGGGAAAGAAAAGCAGCAGGUUAAUACCCCGCUGUUCUGACGGUACCCAAAGAAUAAGCACCGGCUAACUUCGUG